rnacentral:rRNA from 1 species
AUUGAACGCUGGCGGCAGGCCUAACACAUGCAAGUCGAGCGCGCGGCGGACGGGUGAGUAAUGUAUGGGGAUCUGCCCGAUAGAGGGGGAUAACUAGUGGAAAGGGUGGCUAAUACCGCAUACUAUCGGAGGAACCCAUGGGGGAUUCGCUAGUGGGUGGGGUAAAGGCUCACCUAGGAGACGAUCUCUAGCUGGUCUGCGAGGAUGAUCAGCCACACUGGUACUGUGACACGGCCCAGACUCCUACGGGAGGCAGCAGUGGGGAAUAUUGAACAAUGGGAGCAAGCCUGAUACAGCCAUGCCGCGUGUAUGAAGAAGGCCUUAGGGUUGUAAAGUACUUUCAGCGGGGAGGCGUUACCCGCAGAAGAAGCACCGGCUAACUCCGUGCCAGCAGCCGCGGUAAUAC